GCAGGUCACAUUGACAAGACGAAAAAUGGUUGAGCCAGAUGGCCUUCUAUACUGGGAGAGAUUCUUGGUUAUGCAGCACAAGAAUCACAGAUAUGGCUGAUCCUAUCACAAAUGUGCCUUGCCAGACAUAAAGAGAUACUUUUUCCCUUCAGAAGAGUGAACAAGGACCAAGACAGAUGGUUUAAAGUAAAAGAAAAAGAAACAGUAUGAACCUCAAGCUGGGGAUCACUUGAAACCAUACAAGGCCACCAAGGAUAGGUUCCCACCUUGGACCACACAAGAUCGCCAACCUGAAACUUAACACCAGUGGACACUUCCGUUGUUGGAACAGAAGAUAGUAUUGGCUGAACCUACAGGAAAGGGUCAAAAAACUUCAUCAGAAAUUCAAAAAAAGAAACUAUGUAUAAAGUACAUUAAAAAUGCUAACAAUGUAA
ensembl:lncRNA novel transcript, antisense to NSD3